GAUGAACGCUGGCGGCGUGCUUAACACAUGCAAGUCGAACGGGAAUUAUUUUAUUGAAACUUCGGUCGAUUUAAUUUAAUUCUAGUGGCGGACGGGUGAGUAACGCAUGGGUAACCUGCCUUAUACAGGGGGAUAACAGUCAGAAAUGGCUGCUAAUACCGCAUAAGCGCACAGAGCUGCAUGGCUCAGUGUGAAAAACUCCGGUGGUAUAAGAUGGACCCGCGUUGGAUUAGCUUGUUGGCAGGGUAACGGCCUACCAAGGCGACGAUCCAUAGCCGGCCUGAGAGGGUGAACGGCCACAUUGGGACUGAGACACGGCCCAGACUCCUACGGGAGGCAGCAGUGGGGAAUAUUGCACAAUGGGGGAAACCCUGAUGCAGCGACGCCGCGUGAAGGAAGAAGUAUCUCGGUAUGUAAACUUCUAUCAGCAGGGAAGAUAGUGACGGUACCUGACUAAGAAGCCCCGGCUAACUACGUG
rnacentral:rRNA from 1 species